UAGGAGGCAGUGGGGACAAGGGGACAGUGUUUUGAAAGUCAGAGCAGGUUUGGGAUUGUGCAAUCUUCUGUGUCAUGCAAGCAAGGUCCAGUGACCUAAGCAGUGGUCCGAGCAGCGGUGAGGCAGGGGCACUAGGGUGGCAAUAUCAACGGCGACUUUCAUCCUCUACCUGGGAGAACUUGCCUUCCGUGAAGGUUAACGGGUGCAGAGCCAUCUGUUGUCAAGUAAGAAAGCUCUUCGAGUGUCUCCUAAAUGCCUCUACCUGUCUAUGUCAAUGUGACGUCUUGAACUCAGUAUGUUCUAAGGAGAAUUUCUUUUCUUUCUUUUCUCUUUUUUUUUUGAGACAGGGCCUUGCUCUAUUGCCCAGGCUAAAGUGCGAUGGCGUGAUUGUAACUCACUGCAGCCUCCAUCUACUGGGCACAAACAAUCCUUCCAUUUCAUUCUUCCCAGUAGCUGAGACUACAGGCAUGGGUCACCAUGCUUGUCUAAUUUUUCAAACUUUCAGUACAGACAAAGUCUCACUAUGUUGGUCAGGCUGUUCUUGAACUCCUGAGCCAAUCCUUCUGCCUCAGCCUCCCAAAGUGUUGGGAUCACAGGUGCAAGACUGUGUCAAGACAAAGCAGAAUUUUUGAUUCCUGCUCUCCUGUUUAGUGUUCAUCUUAAUAAAUAUCACACAGUUGCUCGUGACAAAGUCCGGGGAGUCUUCCUUGAUUCUUGUCCUCUCCUUCAUACUCAACAUUAAAUCCAUCAAGAUCUGUCAGCUAUAUCUUCAAAUUCUAUGCUGAUUUCUGUCUAGAUGAAAGAUUAAGCAGGCAAGCUCAGGAGGCAGACUGACUAAGUUUGAAAUCUGGCUCUAAACUUACUAGCUGUGUAAUCCUGGCCAAGUGACUUCACCUCUCGGCUUCAUUUUCUUCAUGUGUAAAAUGUAGAUAAUGAUCGCACCUACUUCACAGGGUUGUUUGUAGAAAUAAUACUGACACAUAUAAAGUACUUGGAAUUAAGCCUGGAUAUAGGAGGUGCUCAGUUAAGGUUACUUGGUACUAGCUCUCAACCUGCCAUUUUAAUCCCACCCUCAUUUUGUCUUACCAGGCAUACUAAAAUCAUUGAUCUCUACCAUGUUUCCCUGCUUUUAUUUUUGCCAUCUAUGGUCCACACAACUACCAGCGUGAGCUUUGAAAAACAGAAAUCAUUAAGCCAUUCACCUGCUCAAAACCCUUCAAUAGCUUCCUAGUUGCAAAAGAAAUCUGUGGCCCCUGGUCCGGUUUAGAUUCUUAGUCAUCAUCUGUAGCUCUCCCUUUGCAUUGCCUUUACUUAACCUUGCCCUUUCUACUGUUUCUCGGAUAUGCCUAGUCAUUCCUCUGCAGACCUGGACACGGGUCUCCCUCUCCAGGAAGUUUCUUCAGUAAGCCCCUGGCAUUAAUGCACCCUCACUUCCUUUGGUCCUCACAGAGUAGAGCAGUAGCCUUCCACUGCUACUACUUCAGUUCUGCUACCAACAUCUCUUACAUGGAUUACUACAACAUGUCCUCACACAGACGCAGAAAGAAGUCUGCCCAGAUUACCCUAUUACCCACUUUCUUUUUCUUCAGCGUUCUUAUCAGUACCUGAGAAUACACCCUAUUUAAAUUGUUUAGUUGUUUAUGGUCUGUGUCCCCCACUACUGUGUCAGGUUUUGCAGUAGGUCUGGUUCUUCAUUAUGUCCUCGUGACUAAGACAGUACGUAAACAUCAUAGGUUCUCAUAAAUAUUUGUUGAAUAAAUGAGUGAAUGGAUUAGUUUUCAUAUCUUCCCAUAUUCUCCACCCAUCUACCCUCUGCUUCAAAUUAAAUGCCACAGAGAUCAUUUAACCAAAGCUCUCAUAUUGUAGGGAAGAAACCCACCUGCAGAGGGGAAGGCUGACUGCGGACUGCCUCCUACUGCAGUGCCGGCACUCUUUCGUACGCUUUGCUGCUCACCUUCUUCCAUCCAUGCUCUACCGUGAUUCAGUGCUAUCAGCAGUGCACGAUAUCAUGAGAACACAUAACUAAAAGCAUUCUUCAAAGGCUCUUCCCUUCUCCCUUCUCCCUUCUACCUUUCUGGAGUCUGUCUGUCUCCUGUCUUCCCCUCCCUCUGCCUUUCCUGCCGUGAAUCCCCAGCUACCCUUGCCUCAGCUUCCCUACUGGUUCUCCAGGUAGUCUCAUCCGUUGCCAUGACUUCAAACACCAUCUGCAUGCUGAUGACUCUGUAUCUCCAACCCAGACGCCUCUCCUUUUCUCCAACUCACACUUUUUUUUUUUUUUUUGAGACGGAAUUUCGCUCUUGUUACCCAGGCUGGAGUGCAAUGGCGCCAUCUCAGCUCACCGCAACCUCCGCCUCCUGGGUUCAGGCAAUUCUCCUGCCUCAGCCUCCUGAGUAUCUGGGAUUACAGGCACGUGCCACCUUGCCCAGCUAAUUUUUUGUAUUUUGAGUAGAGACAGGGUUUCACCAUGUUGACCAGGAUGGUCUCGAUCUGUUGACCUCGUGAUCCACCCGCCUCGGCCUCCCAAAGUGCUGGGAUUACAGGCGUGAGCUACCGCGCCCAGCCCAACUCACACUUUUAACUGCUUACAAGACAUCUUCAUCUGGAUGGCCCUAGGCAUCACAAAUAGAAUCCAUUCUCCAUUGGAACUGCUGUUCCCCCAGUGCUCCCUAUCUGUAGAAUGGUAACCGGUUAUCCCAGCCUGAAACCUUCUCACUGUGUCUGUUCCCUUCAAACAAUCAUAAGGACAUGUUGAUUCUACUUCUCAAAAAAUUGUCACAUCUAUUUCUCUCAUUUCCACUGCCACUAUUUUAGUUCUGUUACCAACGUCUCUUACAUGGAUUACUAGAACAAUCUCCCAAUUAAGAGUUUUUCUUUCUUUUUUUUUUUUUUUUUUAGAUGGAGGCUUGCUCUGUCGCCAGACUGGAGUGCAGUGGUGCGAUCUCGGCUCACUGCAACCUCCACCUCCUGGGUUCAAGUGAUUCUCCUGCCUCAGCCUCCCAACUAGCUGGGACUACAGGUACAAACUAUGAGGAAAAUACAAGAGGAAAUCCCAAGAUGAACUUUUUCAAUUUUCUUUCCUUUAAUUUCUUUUUUCACAAAUAAAAUUAGUGUUAAAGCCUCUAGAAGAAAAUCAGUACUGUUCACAUUCUGUUUAGGAUGUAGGCAGAUGCAGAAGAUCUAGCAGAAGACUCAGUGCCCCAGGGACAUGGAUGAAUCUGGAGAACAUCAUCCUCAGCAAACUGACACAAGAACAGAAAAUGAAACACCGCAUAUUCUCACUCAUAGGUGGGUGAUGAAAAAUGAGAACACAUGGACACAGAAAGGGGAGUACUAAACACUGGGGUCUAUUGGGGGGAAAAGGGGAGGGCCAGUGGGAGGGGGAGGUGGGGAGGGAUAGCCUGGGGAGAAAUGCCAAAUGUGGGUGAAGGGGAGAAGAAAAGCAAAGCACACUGCCAUGUGUGUACCUACGCAACUGUCUCGCAUGCUCUGCUCACGUACCCCAAAACCUAUAAUCAAAUAAAAAAUUAAAAAAAAAAAAAAGAAAAAUAGAAAAAGAUAUAAUAAAGCUUUUGCUAAAUAUUGUAUGCCUUGUCUAAUUUUUCACUAUGCAAAUACUGCU